UGUCCACAGCUCCAGCUGGAAGUAUGGUGGUUUUGUUGCUGAGCACCUUUCAAAAUCAGGUCAUUAGACUGGUGGUAUCUGGAGUUCCAGAUGUUAUAUAGACAAACCCUUUGACAGGGUCAGUAAGAAUGAGAUAACUUUGCAUUUUCAGUAAUUCAAUCUUUCUUCUUUGGACUUACUUAUUUUUCACUAGUUUAGCUGUGUCUUCUACUGUAUCUGUCUUUUUAAGAAGUCUUUGGAAAGAAUUGUAAGGACCAUGUUACACAAAGGUCACAAAAAAACCUGGGGUUUAUUUUAUCUAUAUUCAGAAUAUCCACUAUGAAGUAGUUCAUAUAUACACAUGUCUACCCGCAGUGAGGUACCUAUAGAAAAAGCCUAGAGUCAGAUAAAUCUAAGUGAAUGUUUGAUAUAAAGCUUUUCUGCUAGUUUUGAAUUUCUCUGUAACUGCCAGAUUUUGAAUGCAGCUCUUGGAGGUCUGCUCAUACUGUUUGUCUAAAUCAGGGGUUUGUAUCUAGUUUUUGAGGUGUUAUCAUUCCACACCAGUAUGGAGAUACCUUCUUUUCAAAGCAUUGAGACCUAUAUACUUGAUAGGGGCUUUUUUUUUUUUUUUUCUUCCAUGAAUACCUCUACUUUAUUAUUGGAAAGGUGAAAAAGUGGAAAGAGUGCUUAGCCCUCUGCAGUUGAUAGGAUACUCUCAAAAAUAAAAUCAUGGCCUGCUCAGCUACUUCAGACUAUCUCUGCAGCUCUGAUUUCUCAUUUGAUUAUUCUGUCAUGUAAGAUGUAGAGAUAUGGAGAUUUCUUGGUCAUCUAGUCCAGUCUGGUUCUCCCCUAAAUACUACAUCAUACUUUAAACUUUGAAAAACCCAAACAUGUUCAAUCCAAAACCCUAUAGUUGCUUUCCUCCCCUUACUCUCACUAAUAUGUCAUUCUAAAAUCUCAUUCUUUUGAUGUCUAAAAACAUUUUUUACUGACUUCCAGUCUGCAUUUUCACAUAGACAAGUGUGCCUUUUUUUGGUUUUAUAUGUGUUGCCUUUUAUCAUUUUCACAAUUUACAAACACUGGGGUUUUAUAGACACAAAAUCUUGUCCUUCACAGCCUUCCAAUUUGCUAAGCUAAAUUAACCAGAUUAUUUGGUCCAGACUUUUAUUAACUAAUUUUAGGCACUUAAGUGAGACUAGUCACUUUAAGAAUACUCCUCCAUGUUCAAUAAAAACAGAGAGACACUUCAAAAGGUUUUUAUGUAUUUUUAUGCAUCUCCUAGAUAUUGUCAGGAUCGCAGCCAACUGAUUGUAGUCCUGAAGUUACAGAAAAUAUGUCUGAGUCUUCUGAUCUCUUAAAUUAAGCUUGUAGUGCUCCUGAGAAUUUGUAUCUCUUCUCUGUUUUUCUCCCAAAUUCAACUUAUUCCUGCUUAUGUAUCUGUCACCAGAGUAAUAUUUCAGUGGAAACUACUGUACUUACCAAUGCAGAGAGAACUCUUCUUCUCAGCAGAAGAGAAUAGAAGCAGAAAAGUGAAUGAAAGAAUAGAGGCUGGUAAAAAAAGGCAUGUUGAACUACUUGCAGAGAUUGAAAACCUUGAGGAAGAGAUUUUUCAGUCUGAGAACCAAUUCAAAGCCCUGAGUGAAGAAGCAAGUAAAAAGGAAAAUGAUUACAAGAAUUAUAACAAAGAUUUUGCUAACAAAAUAAAAUGUCUGGAGAAUUACAUAAAAAAUGCAACUGAAAAUCUACUUAAAAAAGAACAAGAAUUAAACACAAGCAAGCUAACAUUGGAAGAAGCCCAGACAGAAACAGAAGAGAAGCAUUCAAAAUGUGAAGACCUGAACAAAUCCUUUUUAGGUAAGUAUUAAGUAUCUCCUCUACAUUGUGGAGCUUUCUCUUGUUUCCAAAAACAGUGUGCCAUAACCGUAUGUCUGCCUAUGGCUUUGGUGAACUGUGAAACACAUAUAAAUUGAGUUCUUACCAACAACUGGAAUCUAUAGGCCUGGCCAUAACAGGAAAAUAAACCAUUUAAGAAAAAAAUAAGAGUGACUUAAACAAGUCACUAAUAGAAUCUAAUUUUAUUUGUAACACUUUAAUGUUUAAUCAUAACAUCAUCUAAAAACCAUAGAAUGGUUUGGGUUGGAAGAGACCUUAAAGAUCAUCCUGUUCCAAUCCCCCUGCCACAGGCAGGGGCACCCUCCACUAAACCAGGCUGAUCAAAGCCCCAUCCAACCUGGCCUUGGACACUGCCAGGGACUGGGCAGCCACAGCUUCUUUGUGCAACCCUUUCUCUGCCUUGUAGAAAAGAAAGAUGAAGAAGUACGAGCCACAAGAGCCAUUCAGCAGUCAAUCAAAACUCCUGGGAAGCUCAAGAAGGACAUGAUAAUAACUUAUUGUAGUACUUCUGCAGAGUUUCUACCACCAGAUUUAUUUCCUCCUGGUAAAGACCAGCCACCCAUGGAGACUGGGACCAGGGAAGACAGGCUGGAACCUUACCUUCCUCUCUGUUGCUAUGCUCCCAUCUGGAGGGUGGCUGAGACUUCAGCUCAGCCUAUAACCCAGAAUUUAUAUCAAGCUGCCCUUCUGCUUGAUUUUGCAUUCCUUAGACACUUGAGCAAGUCAAAAAGAAGCUGGUGAACUGGGGGCAUUUGUAAACCUGCUUCAGUUCAGGUUCUUGCUACUGCAAAGGCAGGAAUUUCUGCUACUUUAGUAACUCAUAUUUGAAAAACUUUUCUGUAGCAUUGCCUCUUUACCUGUAUUUCUCAUUUCUGACGUAAGGCAUUCAAUCAGCACCAGUGUGAAGAGAAUAAAAAUGGUAUAGCUGUAGGGGUAGUUACAAUAGUUCAAAAUGACUGAAGCUGGGCUGUACAUCCCAGGCUAACAAUCAGAUUGCUUUUCCUUCCUGUUUCUUUGCCAGAACAAAAAUUUAUGGGGGAAAGGAACAUAUUUACACCUUCUGCUGCUACUAGGAAGAAUUAAAGUGUCUCUAGUUACUGAGAAGCAUAGGACAAGAUGAAUAAACUACAUAAAGCAAUCUUAUGAGGCUGGUCAGAUGCAGGCUUCAUGCCCCAGUGGUCUGUUUAGAAAAGGGAGACCUGUUUCUCCAACCAUAUUAGAAUAGAAAUAGCACAACAAAACAGUUGUGUACACUUGAGCCUCAGGUGACAGAAAAAUUAUGCUCUUGCCAUUGGUUGACCCCGCAGCAGAAAGGUCACUUCAUGUCAGAGCUGAUUCAUUUCUUGUGGACCGUAAGCAAUUGAUUCCCCACUCUGUGUCUCUUUCUCCUCACUGGUAAGAGGGCUGUCUCAGAUGGCACUUUGAAAUCUCACAAUGAAAGCUGCCACAUAACAAAAACUCUUUUCACUUUAUUUAAUUACAAAAUCCUAUAUAAAAAUCUGUUAUCAGUGAAGAGUUUAUUAUUAACAGCUGGAGCUGAAGAAUAAAUUGUGAAUGAAGAAUGAUGCUGCAGUCAGCCAGUUGAAAAAUCACACAAAGACUAUGAAGCUCCUAGAACGAGACAUCUAUGAGAUCAACAGGAAAACUGACAUUGUGUACACUGAGAACUGCAGGUUCAAAUUACGCACUGCACAGAUGGAAGAAGAUAUUUUUGCAGUGAAUUCUGAAGCAGAAAAACACAAGUCAGCAAUAGGCAAAAUCCUGAAAGGCAUGCCAGUGCUUCACGGAAUUUCUGAAGGAUGAGCAGGAACUACUGAACACAGUGACAGCUCUAACAACAGAAAUUCAGCAGCGAGAUGAAAAGAUUGGUGAUAUUAAUAGCAGGCUGCAAAAUAAGCUGGAAGGACUGGAUUCUCUGCUUGUCCUAAAAUCUAAACUGGAUGAUCACAAUAAAAUAGACUAAACUUUUUCUUUUCCACUUUCUUUUUCUUUUUUUUUUUCUUUUUGUUGUUUUUUUUU